rnacentral:rRNA from 1 species
AUUGAACGCUGGCGGCAGGCCUAACACAUGCAAGUCGAGCGAGCGGCGGACGGGUGAGUAAUGCCUGGGAAUUGCCCAGUCGAGGGGGACAACAGUUGGAAACGACUGCUAAUACCGCAUACGAUCGGAUUGCUCACGUGGGAUUAGCUAGGUGGUGAGGGAAUGGCUCACCAAGGCGACGAUCCCUAGCUGGUCUGAGAGGAUGAUCAGCCACAAUGGAAGUGAGACACGGUCCAGGCUCCUACGGGAGGCAGCAGUGGGGAAUAUUGCACAAUGGUGGAAACCCUGAUGCAGCCAUGCCGCGUGUGUGAAGAAGGCCUUCGGGUUGUAAAGCACUUUCAGCGAGGAGGCGUUACUCGCAGAAGAGGCACCGGCUAACUCCAUGCCAGCAGCCGCGGUAAUAC